CGUAUAAGAAUUUUUUUAGUGAUUGUAAGAAAUAAAUUUAAUUUUUGUUUCUUGAAAGGCCUUGAUAUUUAUAAUUUGGUACAAUAGUAUAUUCGACCAGCGAAAUAAUUUAUUUUAUCUAAGUAAUGACUUAAAAGCGGAAUAUAAUAUCUAAUUAUGGACAAUUAAUUACACUCCUUAUUUGAUUCAAAUAUAUAAACUUCUCGAAUAAAUGAUACAAAUAUACCAAAUAAGAUAUUCAUGCAUUCUACAGAAUGUAAAGUUGACGGUCCUAUUCCGAAAUUGCGUAAAUGAGAUUUUCAUUCAUUUUUGCCACAAAGUUAUUUUUUUGAUGGUCUUAUCAUUUUUGGAAUUAGUUCUUUGAGGCACAGCGAAAUAGGGUUCAUUUACACCUCUCUCUCUCUCUCUCUCUCUCUCUCUCGUUAUUAUUAUUUUUUUCUUUCUAAUGAAGAAGAUUUUAUUCCAUACUUGUUGUUUCUCAUGUAUGUACCGAUCUAGUGGAUGGAUGAGGGCAUUUUUUUCCCCCCCUCUCGUAGCAUGCAACGCAUGAGUGGCUUAAAACUUUGAUAUAUAAAGCANCCCUCUCCUCUCGUAGCAUGCAACGCAUGAGUGGCCUAAAACUUUGAUAUAUAAAGCAGUUGGAGUUGGGGGAGGUGGCAAGUGAGGGCAUUAAAUGUGCUUCGUCUUUUUCUACAACCGUCACAGGAAGUACCAGGGGCACAGGGCACAAUCUCUUAAGAGACCUUUUUUUUUUCUAAAUAAUUUUAUAAAAUAUUGUAAUUAGCUAAAUAAUCUUAUUAAAAAAAAUAUUUAGCAAAAUAAUCUUUUUUUGCCAAGCCAGCAAUCAGCAUGGAGAAAAAGUUUUCUUUUAAAAACGAUGAAUUAUUACGGUCUUUAAGAAGACGGCGAAUGAUUUAACGUACGUCUACCUAAGUUUCUACUGGGAUGGUGAAUCAUUUACCACCCUCUUGUAAAUUAUUUUUUAUGAUUUUUAGGUUGUUAAGAUUAUAUGUGAUUUGUUGAAAUUUUUAUAUGAUUGUUAGGAUUAUAUAUGAAAAAUAGAAAAAAGUGAAAUUGUUAGGAUUGUAUGUAUAGGAUUAUAUUAUUAUAAUUUUUUUAUUAUUAUUAGAAUUGUAUGUAUACAGCAUUAAUUGGAAUUUUUUAUGUUGUUAAGAUUAUAUAUGAUUUGUUGAAAUUUUCAUGUGGUUGUUAAGAUUAUAUAUAGAAACAAAAGAUAGUAUAAAAAAAAGACGGUAAAUGAUUCACCGUUUUUCACAGUGAAUCGUUCAUUACCUUCAAGUAGGCAGUAAACGAUUCACCGGCUUAAAAUUCGACCCAAACUCCUAGUUGGGAAAAGAAGAAUUAGUUUGCCAAAAAAUAUUUCGGAGGAUUAUUUACCUAAAUAUGAAAUUUUAUAAGGUUAUUUCGGCAAAAAGUCCUCUCUUUAGUAUGGUAGCAUAAAAAAAGUUUACAGAGCGCCUAAGGCCCAGUUUGAUAGUAAGAGUAAAAAAAACACAAUCUAAAAUACAUUAGUUAUAUUGUUUAUAUGGUAUUACCAACUAAUCAAAUUAUUUUUCUGAAUUCAUCCGCCUAUCAUAAUUAUAUUAAAAAAAUAUUUUUAUUAAACUUUUUACUCAAAAAAAAAAAUGUAUGAUUAUACAUCCUUUCAAUUUACUCGAGAAGCGUCUAAAACGGCAUACCAUGUUCGGCUUGAAAGUUACUUUUUUUGAGGUAAAUAAAUUAUCUUGUAGACGAGAUAUAUAAUCAUGAUUAUGGAUGAUAAGGCCUCUGGGCACUGUUCGAAAGUCAAAAUAAGCUAUCAAAGAAUAACUUAUUUGGUAUUAAAAUUUUCAAAUAUGAUCGUUAAAAAAAUAAUAAUAAUAACUUUAACUCUUUAUAAGAUCUUGGCAUCGAUGAUUAUUAGAUAGGAUAACAUAUUUUUACUAUAACUAGUUGAAUGUACGUGCAAAUGCACGUAACAAUUAAUUAUUAUAAUAUAUUUCAAACCAAUAUAAAUGUGUACAUUAUAUAAAUCCAAAAUUUUAUAAUAAAAACUAUAUUUAUAAAUUAAUAUAUUAUAUUUUAUUAGAAAAUAUUUACAAUAUCCUAUGUGUUCUUUUUUUUAUAUACAUCGAACAUUUUUAUAUACUUUUUGAUUUUUGAUGAAUUAAAUUUAAAUAUGUGUUUUAAACUAAAAGCAUCAAAAUUUAAUUUAUAUUUAUUUUCAAAUUUUAAAAUUUAAGAUUGAUCCACUGUAAUAAAAAAAUUAAUUGUUAAUUUAAAUUUGAUAUCAAAAAUUAAAUUUAAUUCAUAAUUUAAACUCAAAUUUUAAUGUAAAAUAGAUAAAUAGGAAUGCUUUUUUUUUACAAAUUGAUCAUAACUGUUUGUUUUUAUUUGAGGUAUUUUUUAACAAAUUGAUUAUAAUCGUUCGUAGGAUUGAAUUUAUAGAUGGAUAGGAAUGCUAUUUUUUAAUAAAUUGAUCAUAACUGUUCUUAUUUGAGAUUUUUUUUUUAACAAAUUGAUCAUAAGCAUUUGUAGAGAAUAGAUUUUUAUAUAGUAGAGAUUUAAUAGAUUGAUUAUAACCGUUCUUAUUGAUUUGAAAUAUUUUUAACAAAUUAAUCAUAACCAUUCGUAGGGAAUAUUAUUUUUUUUUACAGAUUAAUCAUAACCGUUUGUUUUUAUUUGAGAUAUUUUUAAUAUAUUAAUCAUAAUCAUUCUAAGGUAAUAUUAUUUUAUUUCUUUUUGGAUUCCGUCUGUCAUUGUCGGAAUUUUUAUACGCUUUUAUAUAUAGUAUAGAUAUAACAUAUUUAUCUUAUCGAAAAAUAAUAAUAAUAAAAGCCUAAAAUAGUAUCUACUUCUAGACAUUUGAUUGCUCUCUUCAUCUACCAAAUGUACAAGCUAUUUACGUAAAUCAUAAAAAUAUACUGAAUAAAAUAUUUAUAUUUCAAGAGUCAAAGAUCAAACUACUAUCUUUUAGUUAUACAAGAAAAUUUUCACACUGAAUAUACUAUCAUUGAAUAUCCAAUUCCAACAUCUAAAGACAAAACAUAGAAUCAGCGGAACAGGUAACAUGAAAUCAAGUGGACUACAAGUGAUUACAAUUUAUUUAAAAAUAAAUCUGCAAUGAACCAAAGAGCACUGUGCAUUUGCAGUGGGCACACGUGCAGAAGCAACCAAUCAAACAAGCUGAUGCACAAGAAAAAUGAAACAAAAUAAAUAAAACAAAAGAGAAGAAAACAGUAAGAUUCCAUGUAGUAAUACAUAGAGGAAAUAUUGUCAUCUCUCUUUGUUGCACAAAAGAACAAGUUUGACGCAUCAUUAUUAUUCAUGAUUUAUUAUUAAGUCUGUUGUUUGGUUCCCUUCUUGCUCCUGGCAAGUUAUGACAAAAACGGAACAGCUCGAAAACAAAAUUACACUAGUAAGCAACGGAAAGGUUCAUUUUGAUGCUUCAAACAUGUUCACCAGGUUCGGAAACUUGGGCGUCUUAAGAAGACGACUUCACGGUAGCUGAUUUGAUGAUAUCAACAAACUCCGCCUAUGAAGAAAAAAGAAAAGGUAAGACAACCUCAAGAACAAGCAAAAAAAAAAAGGGGGUAAUAAUUUCACUACAUAGCAGCAAUUUAUUUUGUGGCACAACAUCUGUGAUCUACUCGUGGUGCUCCCAAAGAAAAAGUGGUUUGGCUCUAGUUUGAUAUAUGUGGUGGCCGAAAGCAUCAUUUUCAUCCUUUGAAAAACCAAAAAAAAAAAAAAAGCAAAAACAAUUCCAAUCUUUCCUCCCCAAUUCUUUAAAAUUGUAAUUGUAACUAACAACGUGCAUUUCCGACGGCAGUUGCGACCUCAAUUUUAACCGCCACAUUACCAAACUAGGCCUUAGAAGUGCUUAGCAGUGUCCACACGCUUUGUUGUUUCCUGAAGGUGAAGAAGGCUUCAACUACUUCUGAUGAAAACCCAGUUAGAAGGAAAGCUGGACACACGGCCCAGCUACAAGAGUACUGACUGAAGCUAAAACUAUUGACGUCGCUGCAUCUUACAUUUUCAAACCACGAGAGAAAGUUCAUUCUUUUAUUCUGUGGGGAUCUUCUGACUAGAUUAUCCAAAAUUUGAAAAGUAACUAAAACCAAAGGAAAGUUAGCAUUUGGAUUUAGAUUACAAAAAAUCUAUAAAUGAUUGGGGGGAUAGCUUUAAAUAUUACAGGGACUACUUGAGGAUAAAGUGAGAAUAGCACAUUUUCAGGAUGUGGAUGGAAUAUUGAGUAUGUGAUAUAUGCUGGAAUUACCAAAAAACGUUCCCUAAUGCUCCUUUUCUGGUCAAGUUACAAUCAUGCAAUAUGACGAGGAUGAUGUGAGUUAUCUCCUAUUGUUCCCUAAUCGAACGUGCACAUUGGUACUGGUGGCACGAGGUAAGGGUAAACUAUAUGCCAACUAUGCCAAUUAGGUGACUAGUAACUUAUAAUACGCAUCAGUAGGAUUGAUCACGAAUGACUUUGAGGAAAGAAAAUAAAUGAAGACCUUCAGUGAAGCACCACCAACAAGAAAUCCAUCAACAUCAGGUUGUGCGGCUAACUCCUUGCAGUUUCCUCCAGUUACGGAACCUACGAUAACAAGCAAAGUUUACCACACAAACAUAAAAUUGCAGAAAUUGAAAUUUCAUCUCCACUGUAAGUUCACAUACAGAAGGAAAAUAAUUAAAAUGAGUAAAACCAUGAGGAAGGAAGAUAUCACUCGAAGGAUUUUAAGAACAAAAAAUAUAGUGCCCUAUUCUUAAGCAAAUAUACCUCCGUAAAUAAUCCUCGUCGAUUCUGCAACUUGGCUACUCACAUUUGUUGCAAGCCACUUUCUUAGGCUAGUGUGCACCUACCCAAAAAAAAAAAAAAAAAAAAAGAACAACAGAGAGACAGCUAAAAAAGCAAUUAUAAGCCUAUACGUGGUUGAACUUCAGCACAUUUUGUAACAAUAUUGUCAAAAUGGCAGAUACAUUUUGAGAAAAAAAGAAUGGCAAGUUUAUAGCAAAUUACAUCUGAACAAGGACUGCUGUAAAUUGCAGUUUAAUAUUCUAGAAUUCUUAAUGGCAUGUGGUUGGAAUGUAUAAAAGCUUUAGAAAGGCACAGGUAAACUACAUGCAUUGAUAUGUUUUCAAAUGAGAAAGAGUACAUCCUGCAAUUAUAGAAGAUCAAACAUGAACGAGUUCACAACAUGAGGAGAUCAAAAUGGCUUAGCACCCUCAGACUUACUUCUUGAGCCUGAGCUGGUGUUGCGACUUUACCGGUUCCAAUGGCCCAAACAGGUUCAUAAGCAACAACCACAUUGGUCCAAUCUGAUAUUCUGUCUGCAAGAGAGAAAAGCCAGACAGUCAGAGAAAAAAACUCACUAAAAACGAGUAAAACAACCAAAUCACAUAGCUUUUCUGAGACAAAGCCACUUAACAAAUUCAACCAAUUAAGAGAGUAAAGUAAAUAUUUUUAUAUAAUAUGUUACUAUUCAGCUUAUUAAUGCCAACUCUGGAGAAUAUGCAGAUAUAUAUAUAUAUAUAUAUAUAUAUAUAUAUAUAUAGUGCGGCUAGGAUGCUUAUGGAAGCACGGAGGGCUCCGUGCUUCCACUUUGUUUUCGAUGUUCGGACUUUCGAAUCGACGAUCGGCUCCGUUAGACUUGAUCUAGAGUAUUUGAAGUAUCUAGAAAAUAAAUUUUGCGAUUUUUCGAUAUCAUUUGCCUAGUGAUCGAAGUGGCUCAAAAUCAACGGCUGAAAAUAAAAAUCUUACAAAAUAUGAUGAUAUGACAUUAAAAUUUUAGAUCAAAGUUAUUGAUCUUGUUUUAUAUGGUAUAAAGAAUUUUCUAUCAAAAUUUCAUGUGAUUUGGAUAUUUCUACACCGUUAAACUUGCAACCGGCUCACCACGGCCGUUAAAAUUAUUGAUUUUGAGCUCCUUCGAUCACUAGGCAAAUGAUAUCGAAAAAUCGCAAAAUUUACUUUCUAGGUACUUCAAAUACUCUAGAUCAACUCUAGCGGAGCCGAUCGUCGAUUCGAAAGUCCGAACAUCGAAAACAAAGUGGAAGCACGGAGGCCUCCGUGCUUCCAUAAGCAUACCAGCAUAUAUAUAUAUAUAUUAGAAUUACAUACUCCUAUUGCCAUAGCAACCAAGCUAUAAUAUUUUCUCUAGGUUCAUCAAUUUCAAUCCAAUAACAGAUACUUCUGAAAUUGACUAACAGGACUCAACCAUUAGUCAUGCUCAUUAAAGACAAAAGAAUAUUUUUUAUUGAAAGAUUUUCCUGCAAUUUCUCAUCUAUCUGGGUUUGCAACUAAAAUAACAAUAUGAGAUUAGCAUCGACCAUCCCUAGUGCAGGAGGCAAAAGUCUUGAUGGUUGAUAUCCCAGAUCCUAAGUUUGAAGGCUAAUUGCUUCACAUUUUCAGCUAAAGGCUUGUUUGUCUCAUCGAAAUUAGACUUUGGAUUAAAAUGGACUUUGGGUUGAAGCAAGACUUUAAGUGCCCAUCAGCACAGGCCGUAUCUACCAUGCCGUAUCGUCCUUAUAAGAUAUCAACACGAUACAGCCCCCGUGUCGAUGGUACAACACAAAACCCUCUAUUCUUUAAAUUAGUAAGUAAUUUUCUCAAUAAUGUUCAAAAGAUUUGAUAAAAAUAUAUAAUAAAUAGUUACAAUACUUUGCUGCUAAAGAAAAUAAAUAUUCAUGCUAUUAUGUGUCAGCACACAUUAAUUUUUUGUGACCGGCAUGCACCAGCACGUCACAGCACGCACCAUGCCGUACCGUGUCGGCAUGUUUCCACGAUCCCGUACUACGGCACUUAAAUUCUUGGGUUGAUGUGGAAUUAAGUAAAAACUACUUUUCUCCUACUGUUUGUUUUUAUAGCUAUAGAAGUGAAGUUUCUUCAGUUUUGCUAUUUAUUUGGCAGGAAAGGCACGAUGUAAAACUAUAAUUUAUAAUUUAUGUACAAAUAGUAAAUAACUUAAUAAAUAAUAAAUUAUAAUAUAAUAUAAUAAAUAAAAAUAAUAUAAUUAUAUUCCUAUAUAAUUUAAAAAUUUAAUAUAAAACAACUAAAUUAUUUUUUUAACAUAAAUUAUAAUAAUACAACAAUAAAGUUACAAAGUAAAAAAAAGAGGGUAAUUGCUUAUAUACCCCUGAAAAGUUUCCGACUUUCUGAUUUACCUCUCUUAGAAGGCUAAUAUUGAAAAUACCCUUUUUACGUUCCAACCUAUUUCAAAUAUACCCCUAAAGUUAAAUUCUAUUAAUAAACUGUUAGCAAUAGCUAUUAUCUCUAUGAAAUUAUUAUUUUGCCAUUUUAAAUAUACCUUUCUACCAUCACCGAACUUUCUGAUUUGUCCUUAAGUUAGGGGCACAAAAAGUAUUUUGAUUUUUGCUCUUUUCAAAUAUACCCUUCUACUAUCACCAACAUUUCUUAUUUUUUCUUAAGUUAAGGGCAAAAGAGGCAUUUUGAUUUUUUUUAACUCUAGUAAAUAUUUAACUCACGUUUAACCCAAGUUAACUUAAUGGGUGGUAACUGCAGGGGUAUUUUGGAAUAACAGAGUAACAUAUGAGGGGUAUAUUGGGGGAAAAAAAAGUAGGGGUAAAUAAAAUAUUUUCGAAGUUUUGAGGGGUAUAUAGGCAAUUAUCCCAAAAAAAAAUAUUAAUACUUAACUAAUCAAUUUUCAUCAUAUUUUAAAUGUACAAACUAAAUUAAGGAAAUAUUAAAACUUGACUAAUUAAUUUUUAUCAUAUUUUAAAUAUCUAAAUUAAAUAAAAGAAUAAUUAAUACCAUAAUUAAAUAUAUUUAAAUAUAACUAGCAUUACCCAUUGUAUUAUUUUAUUAUUUCUUCCUUCCAUCUCUCUUCACCGUAAUUGACUUCGGCCCUGUUUUGGGUAACUCGAGUUUUGACCGCAUAUUUAUUACGACAAACCAAACAGUAGAAGUGAUCAUUUACAACCGAAAAUGACUUCAUCCCUCUCCACUUUCACCCAAACAAAUAGCCCCUAAGUUCAUUUCUUAAAAAACUGAACGAAGUGGGUAGCAAGCUACAUCCCCCUCAAAAAAACAAAGGGAAGUUAUUCUACUACUACAACUAGACUUUCAUUUUUCUGGAAAAAGCUAUACAAAUUCAUUAUGAUUGCAACACAAGCAAAUCAACUUAGUAGUAUCUAAAUCUCUGUUCUGCUAAAUAUUAUAGUACUAAUGUUUUUGCAAGGUCUGAUUUAAUAUCAUCUGGAGAUGUUACGACCUAAAUGGAAUUUCUCAUAUACUUUUUGAGUUUUGACCAAGGAUUGCUAUGUCACUGGCAUAGCCCGUGCCGUUGUGCCAGCAGCACGAAAUGUGCCAAUGUCGGUAUGCCCUUCUGUGUCAGCGGCACACUACUACUACCAAUUCGGCACGCCCUCCCAUGCCCGCGGCACACUACUAGCACAUCGGCACAAUUUUUUUAAUUAAAUUUUCACAGUGGCACAUGCUAGCAGCACACCACUGGUACAUUGACACGCAUCGGCAUAGGUUUUUUUAAUUAAAAUUUUAUGAAAAUUUUUUUAGUGUUCUAAUAUCUCACAAGCUAUAAAAAUGGUUUAUCUAUUGUAUAACACACAAUAAAGUAAGAAUAGAGUUAUAAUCUUCUUAGUAACUAAAAAUUAUUUUAUAUAUUUUAUGAAAGUAUAUGCACAAUACCAAAACCGAAGUCAUAAUUGGAGAAAAAUUAAAAAACAAACACUACCAUGGAUAACAUCAAUAGAUCUAAAAUGAUAAAAGAAAUUGGAGGAAACCUUUUUGUUUGUACUUCUUUUUACAUUAAAAGUUGGUCUUAUAAAACUUACUAACUGCUCCAAAUGCUAGUAGAUUUACAAGAUCAACAUAUUUUUAAGUAUGAAAAAACUUUUGUAAAGGGACAAACUCAAAAAGAUACCAAAAAAAUGUUAAAAAAAAAACUCAAUUUGUUGAUACGAUGUCGGCACGACCCCGUGCCACGUGACAGCACGGACUCAGCAUGAUACUGCAUAGGUAGCACGAGGCAGCAUUGGCGAAGGAGAAGGCAAGCUUGGCAAAGUUACAAGCCUCAAGCAAAGCUGAGAGAGCUUGGGCUAAAGUUGAAUAAAUACACAGAAGCCCCAAAAAGUUGGAGUUCGCGAUGGGGGAUUGGGCUAAUUCAAAACUUUAUCUCCUAAUUAUGAAAUGGCUUAUGAACAUGCAGUACCUGCAAUUGCCUUUGUUUGUGCAGCGACUACAUCCAUCGUGGCAUCUGCCUCUCGCUGUUCAAGAGUCUCACCAACGCAAGCAAUCACCUUCAGACCUUGAGAGAGUGCAUAUGCAACUUUAUCCCCAAUGAGCUGCAUUAAACAACAGCAAAGUAAAUAUUGUAGACUAAUUUCACGAUAUAAAAACACAAUGAUGAGUUACAUGAGACAUAGGCAUCAAGUGAUCAUACAGAUACAGCAUUUUGGCCAAGUGAAGGCUAGUUACACAGCAACAUGAAACCCAUUUCAUGAGGAUUAGCUUACGAACAUGGCAUGAUGCUGAGAUGAAAAUUAUCCAUACUUCAUAAUACAGGAUUUACAAAUCAAAGAAGAUCAUCUUCUUACAAAAGAGUCUGAGAUUCUUUACUUUUUUUCUUGAGUAUGCAUUACCAUUCUCUAAAGAUUAUAGCAACAAAAAACUUGCAUUCGACUCCAAUUAAUCUAAGGAAAACUUCAAAUAUCACUCAUGUGUUUUCACACUUUCUCACUUUAAUACUUUGUGGUUUAAAGUGCAUCAAUUUAGUACCCCGUGGUUUUAUUUUUCUCUUUUUAUUAUCCAUUCCACUAAUUUUUUUUCGUUAAAUCAAUGACAAAGUUAAAACUAAAUGGUACUAAAGUGAAUAUUCGAUAAACCUAAGUGGGGUAUCUGAAGUUUUUUUGUAUAUAAUUUAACGAAAUAAUAACAAAGGAGUUGACGAAAAGAGAAAAAUGAAACCACAGGGUACUAAAUUGAUACACUCUAAACCACAGGGUACUAAAGUGAGAAAGUGUGAAACCACAGAGAUGGUAUUUGAAGUUACCCAUUAAUCUAUACAUAAGCUAGAUAAAUCAGUAAAAUAAGUAAAGAGCUGUUAAUUUUAUGGUAAAAAUGUAAAAGCGACAUCAUAGUUUGAAGCUUCAGGUUGACAAAGCCAAUUAGACUGGAUGUACCAGCAGCCCCACUACCAAUCACAAAUAGUGGAUUCAAAACUUACUUCAUUUGAUUCACCCAACAAGAGCCUUCUCUCAGAGUGACCAAGAAUGACCCAAGGAAUGCCAAGAUUUACAAGCAUCUCCGCACUGCAUCACAAGAACAUUCAGAGUUUAUAUUAGCUGUGCUUCAUUGAAGCAUAGUAUAUAGCAGAAAGAGCAGUCAAGAUGACAAUAAGUUGGAUAAAUUUAUAUACUAAAUGCCAUCGAGGCAACUCCUUUCAAUGCCACAUGUCCAACCAAUUCUCCUGGUGCACCCGAUGCACCAUAUACCAUGUUCAGAAAUUAUAAGUACUAACCAACAGAGAAACCCAAAAUUUACAAUUUUUACUAUGUAGGCCUUCAGGAUAUCAUAUAACCCAUUCAAGAAAGUAAAUUCUGAUUUCAAACCUAUGUAGGCCUUCAGGAUAUCUCAUAUAACCCAUUCAAGAAAGUAAAUUCUGAUUUGAAACCUCUAGGUUUGAAUUUUAUAAGCACAAAGCAGGGAACUCUUAGUGCAGUAGGAACGUUUGCAAACUUUGUAGUAGGUAUAUAUUGAGAUGACCAAAAUAGUGCUGUGUUGCGCUUCACAUCGUCAAUCCCGAGCACAAUUAUAGAUUUUAGGUGCUAAUGCAUCUUCCAGCCAAAUAUUGUUGAUUGGAUAGUCCGAUGUUUGGCACACUAAGAACAUCAUAGAUUGAAUUUAUGAAUGAUAAAUUCUAAUCAAUAAAUGUGCCUGAAAUUUAUGACUUUUAAUAGGUAAGGCUUUUAAAUAUCAUAGAGCAAAUUCAGCCAAAUAUAGUUUGAUUUCAAAUCCUCUUGCGGUUGGAUGUUAGAAAGUGCCAUACAUGACGCACCAGGUCCAUGUGGCAACUUCUGCAAACUUUGAUAUAUAUACUAAAAUGAUCAAAAUAACACUCCGUUGCAUGCCACGUCAUCAAUGAAAAAAAACAUCCAGGAAUCUUAAGCGUUGACAAGCGUCCUAGCCAACUAAUGAACUAAUAAUGACAUAUGCUCCUGAAAUUUAUGAAAAUAAAUAUAUAGCAUUUGCAUAGAACUCAUUCAACGAUUGUUUUUUUCUUUUUGGUUCUCUAUGAAAGGAGGAAAACUUCAUUUUAGCCUUGUUAAUAUGUAGGCCUUUUGAAUGUCGCAUAACACAGUCAGUGAACAAAAUACUGAUUUUAGUCUUCUAUGGUUGGGAUUCAGGAGUGUAAUGCAUGGUACGGGAAGUGCAUGUAAUAACUUUCAUAAAAUUUGAGAUAAACCGAAACGACCAAGAUAGCUUUCUCUAUUGCGUUGCCACGUUAAAUAUAAUGUAAACGCCCUUCAAAUUUAAAAUUAUCAAAAUACCUAUCUCCUCUCUUAAAGGGCACAACUUUUACAUGCAAGCCCCCCAAAAUUAUUUAUUUAUAUUUAUACCCCCUAUACACUGAUUUGAUUAAGACUGUCUUUCCAUUGUGUGCCACACCGUCAAUAUAAUGUCUUUUCCAUUAUGUGCCAAACCAUCAAUUCUAGUGGCAAACCGCACGAUGUUGCAGAUAUAAAAAUAUUUUAAUAAUAAAUUUUACUUUAUAUUUUUAUAUUUUUUAUAUAAUUUUAUUAGUCUAAUUUAUUAAUUAAAUAAAGUAUAUAAAAUUGAUUUAAUAAUUAAAUUUGUUUAAAUAAAAAAUAAUUAGAAUUGGUAUAUGUGCAAUAUAAAUUUAUAUAACAGCUUAUUAGCAAUUAAAUUACUUAGUUAUUAAAUUAUUCCAUAAAAACUAAUGUGAAAAAGAUUUGAAAGAAAUCUAUUAAAAUAAUUCAAAUAAAUCAAUAAAUAAUAUGAAAAAUAAAAUAGUAGGAAGAAAUUAUUUCAUGCNCCCCCCCCCCCCCCCAAGCAACCCUGUCGCCGUCGAGUGCUGCAGCGAGCUCUACAACCACCUCGAGGCCGUCCCUGGCAGUGGUGGCUCCACCUCCUUACAGCAUCGCCACCGUCGCCACCCCUGAGCAGCACCGCCGCCUCCCUCCGAUCUUGAGGGACGCGCCGCCAUCACUGCUUACACCGUCGCUGGGAAGCGCCUCCCAAGCCGUGCCCUAGUUUGGUUGGGCCGAGAUCCUUCCAGCAACGCCACCGCCGCUCCCCGCCGCAGGCCAAGGUGAGCACCACACUCCCCCUCUCCCCCGCACUCACCCCUGGGCCGCGCGCGCUCCGCCGUGCCGCCAAUGGCGAACCGAAGCCAAGAGCUCCCUCCCAUGCCCAAAAUAGGGUGAUGUUUUUGGCCCCUCUCGCUGUUCCGGCCAUCCAAGAACUCCCCAACUCUCCGGAAGGUGAGCACGAUGACCUAGAGUUGUCACUGAUCACCAUGCUCACCUCAGUUUCUAUCAGAGAAGCUGCGGCUCGCUGUUUUUACAUUGUCGCUCCCGAAGCCUUUAUAUGGCUGCUGUAAUCUUGGCCCCGGAGCAUUCCUCGGCUAUUUUUCUUGCCUGGGACAGCGUGCACAGGCUUCACUGCGUCGAGGCCUAUCCACUGGUGCCCUCGGUUGGUCUCGCAAACGCACGAUGUGCUCUAUCGGCCCUUUUUAAUGUGUAUUUUUUGCUUAUAUCUAUUGUUUAGGGGCCUAUUUAUAAUUGUGACAGCAAGAGAUGUCUUGGGCAGCAUAAGGCCACUUGAUGUGACCCUCUGGACUGGUUGUCCAAACUUCUGAUGCCCUCGCAGAAUCAAGUUUGAUUUUUGAAGCGUUUUCCGACAAAAUCGUCAGCGGAACACGGUGACCAUUGUGGGGUCCACUUGUUAAUAGUGUUAUCACCCCAGGUAUGUCGUGGAGCCUCAUUGGCGGGCUACACUCACUAUCUCGAGUUUCUGAAGACAAUGAGUGAGCGACGGAGGGUUCCGGUGCCGAAAACAGCAUUUCUGGGAACCCGAAAUAGCUUUAAGUGCGUUGUUAUUAUCUGUCCUCUUUGAGCUUGUGUUUGCUGUCCGAACACCUAUGUUGGUGCGUUUUGGGACAGCGGGUGACUAGGAUUGUACUUUGGUCCCUUCCGAAACACUUCAUGGCAAUCGGAAGUGUUUCAGUAGACUUUUUGAAACUCUCGGCAGUUUCGAGGUUGUGGGUUUAGUGUUUUGGAGUCGACUUAGUGGAUCUUGACUCGGUGGAUCUUUUAUAGGUCCAGUCGACGUCCUAGCGCGCCUUGAGAAUUAGACGCUGCGACGAUUACAGGUUGGUGCUUCGAUCCAGAGUCGGUACAGUGGUGCUCGCUCGAUAAUAUUCUUCUCUUACUCUUUCCCGUUAACUUACAUACUAUUGAUGAGCAUUUUACCACUAGACUUCUGGUUUGUUUACUCUACUUCUGCUCGUUCACAUAUUCGUAGUAGAAAGGUGUUGGAUUUAUUGUAUGACCUCUAUCUGUGAGACCUGAUUGGUUGGUGUCGAUCGGUUCGUCGAUCUGGUGAUCUAGUUUAGAAAGGUGUGGAUUGUUGGCUUACUCUCGGCUAUUUGCCAUCUUGAUUGACUUUUGAGUAUUUCGCGUUGAUCGUCACAGCUCAUGUAGCAUAUUACGUACACCAGCGGUUCGGCCACCGUGUGGGUGUUUUUUUUCCUAAAAAGCGAUCGUCUCUGCGACCCGUGGGCCCCUGCAAAGUGCUAGCUGGGGUUUUAUUCUAGGUGGGUGAGCAUACUGUGACACUUCUGUGAUCUUUAGACCUAUAUGGCGAGGUGUUUGGAUACCAAUUUUCAUACAGUUGAUGCAUAUGUUUAUUAUUUACAGUAGCGGUAGGUGAUUACUAUUGUUCAUAUCUAUACUUCUUUAUCGGCUAUUGUACAUGACUAUCUAUCUAUUUCAGUUGUUUUCUCUCGCCAAUGAGUGCACUCGCCUUCGUCGGCUCGCGGUACCCACUGGAAGACUUUUGUUGGUUUCUCACCCCCCAUUAUAUAUAUAUAUAUAUAUAUAUAUAUAGAGUCCGGCUACUAUACUAUUAAUAGUAUAGUAGCCUAAUUCUCUCUCUUCUCUCUCUCUCUCUAUAUAUAGAGAGAGAGAGGGAGAGAGAGAGUACGGCUAUGGUGCUUUUAAAAGCAUGAAGCACUUGGUGCUUGUAAUUUUUACACCGUUAGAUCUAUCCCUUUGAUCAGUUCCACCCCUUAGAUUAUGCUAUUUCACUAACCACCCACUCAACCCUAGGGACCACUAUCAUCCUAAUCCUACAAAUCUUCAUCCAAAGACCGAAAACUUACAAGCACCAAGUCACCAAUGACUUGGUGCUUGUAAAAGCAUAGAAGCUUGAUUCUAUAUACAUAUAUAUAAGUGGAGAGUUAGAGGACCAAGCGUUACUAUGAGGUCCCCCCCUACUCUCCUUCAUAUGUAGAAGAAAGAACAGAUAGAUAAUACAAUCCUCGAAUAUAUUUCAAUAAGAAGAAAGGAUCCUAUUGUGAAGAACAAGCCCUUCAUUAGUACAUAUAUAGAGGAACAGAUAGUAAGGUUUUGAGACACAGUAAAGAUGAAAAUAAGGAAUUACUUUAUUCUGCGGACACUACUAAAAAAAAGGAAUAAUUGCAUACACAAAAAGUUACGUUAUUGUAUCAAAUUUCAAAAUAUCAUCCAUACCAUCGUAAACUAAAAUUUGUAAAUAUAACCCUAAUGUAUUAUUAUGCCACCCGAUUUUACUACAAUGACUAUUUUACCCUUAGUAUGAUCAGUGGUAGCGUCCAAUCGGGCAGGUCAAGUUGAGUUCCAUCUAUUUACCUCAGGGUCGUUUCAUCUACUCCGAUUCCUUCUAUCAGGUAUCAAUCACUAAUUUAAAGGGAACAAUGAAGGGAAUAUGGGAGCAAGAGAGUCUUUCAAGUUAAUUCUAGUCAAGUUUAAUUUUGAUUGUUAAACUAUUAAGUUCAACAUUCAAGAGCUUGAAUUUUCAGGAACAUUUCACUCCUUAUCUUAUUGGGAAAAUUAAUGUUUUCACCUGAUUCAGUGUGCAUCACAAAUUCAUUGGCUCUCUAUUUAUCUCAUAAUUUUAAUCGAACAGUUCGAUUUCUAAAUAGCAAAAAAAUUGCAACCCAAUGGACGAUAGAAUUAAAAUAAGAGAUAAAAUUAA
rnacentral:lncRNA from 1 species